AUUUAACAUAAAAGAAAUUAUAAUGUAGUAAGUCCCGUUAAGUGGCUUUGUCAGGUUUUUCGUUAGCUCAGAAAAAUAUUGCUUCACAUCAACGACGAGCUCAAAGGCAUAGAGAAGCAUCCGUUCCGAUUGGCAGGCAUCAAGACAUUUUUCCGAGAGUCACUGCGCAGAAGUAAACUGAGCAUAAGCAGUUGACAUCGAUGUGGCAUUACGCGUUAUUCUCAGUGAACUAAAUAAAAUCAGGCAUUGUUCAAGGCAUCGAAAAGAUGCUGAAAGGCGCCGCGUUCCUUGUGAAGAAGACUGAAGCGCCUGAGCGUAUCUACGAUAUAGAUAAUCCUUCGGUAAUCUUGUACAAUCUCGUGAAAAUAUAAGAUAGUAGACAUGGUGCGUUGAUCACGGUGUCCCGUUGAUCUCGUUGUGCGAACUUAUUCUCUGUGUGUUAGGAGCGUAACCUCCUGACGGAAAUACUGGAGAGGAGCCAUAUGCGCGGGCUCGCGUGGGCAUAUGCUAGUGCGCAGCCGCGUGAAGUCUCUGAAUCAUUGCGCGUGCGUGCAUGCCCCUAUUCGCGCAAUGUGUGUGACUUAUUAUAAAUGUUAGAUUUUAUGUGAAUAUAUGUACAUGUGCGACCAGGCGUGCGGGGACGUGUAUCCGUAGUGUGGGCCAGUGUAGCCAGUGCAGUGCACUCGGCGCAGUAAUCUCGCGGGCCAAUAUUUCAGCGUUUGACGGUUUUACAGGACAAGUUUCUAUUGCAGGAACAUUCGAGUAUCUUUGGCAUAGAAGACUGUGUUGGGUACAAGUGGUAAAACGGUGAUUCCUCUCCGAGUGGCUAAAUAAAAUGGCGGUGAUCGGUGAUGUGAUUGGCGCUGAGCGCUAGACGGAGGUCGUGUUUGGUCCACGCUUCGUCUUGUUUUGGUUUUCGUGGACUCUUGGUUCUCGAAAUUUGUCGAUUAGCCACGAGGGAGUACAUUAUAGAGUAUAUUAUCGAAUUGUAAUCGAAGCAAAACCGUCGGAUCGUCCUAGAGAAACUUUGAUUAAGGCGAGGAGGACCGUCGGUGGUGGUCGUAAUUUUUUCCGCGCGGUGACGGCCGCAAUGCCUGCGACGCAUUGCUAUAAUCCUGACAAGUGCAUCGGGAAAAAGAACGGAAGCGAGAAGGAGAAUAAAAGUGAAGGAAGAGGCGAGAUCACUUUAGCCACGUUAAAUCGCGAAUCUUCGCGAGCAACAAUCGCAUCCAUCGAUCAGGUCGCCGACAGGCUAUAGUUUCACAUACAGAAAUUUUUAAAUCAUCAAAAUGAAGAUAGACCGAAGCAGAUUAAAGAAGUGCACAUCAGAAGUGCCUGCAGAAUGUCAGGUGCUGAUUAGCAAACUGCGCUCCUGCUCUCAUGCAGAAUUGCUUGAGGAAUUAAAGCAAAUAGAUGCAUGGACCUUUGGAAAAUGUGAAUUGUUCCAUUGGAUCGAUGUUUUGGAUCUUAGUGACAGUAUUUUGGAGGAAGCUGCUGCACGAAGUCCAGAUAAUCAAUGGGAAUUAGCAUGUGAUCUUCCACAGAACAGAGAGGCAAAAGAACUGCUUCUCUGGGUUCUUCACUUUACAACGCUGUUAAUCGAGCAUUCAUUUUCCCGGCAUUUAUACAACAGCAUGGAACAUUUAGUUACAUUGCUAUCAAGCUGUGACAUGCAUGUGGUUCUUGGCGUUUUGAACCUUUUGUACAUGUUCAGCAAACGCAGUAACUUUAUCACACGUUUAAACAGUGACAAGCGCCAAUCUCUGCUUACCAGACUCAAUCACUUGGCUGAGAGUUGGGGUGGCAAGGAAAAUGGUUUUGGUCUUGCAGACUGUUGUAAAGAACAUCCAGACAAGCCAUUUCCUGCAAGUGCUACGACACUCCACUUUGAAUUCUACGCGGAAAAUCCAAUGGCGACAGAAACAUCGUCAAGUAGUACUGCAGGAAACGCAGUUGCAAAGAAAUCCGGCCUUACUAAUCUCGUGACUUACAUUCACAUUGAAGAAGUAGAUAAACUUGGAAAGACCCCAGCACAGAUUAUGAACGAUUUGCUGAAAGUUUACAACGUACCGCAAGAGCGACAGAUGGCUCUUCUGACUCACAUCAGGCUGGCACACAGUUUUUCGGACUACAGAAGGCGAUUACAAUGCGUGCAAGCUCGUCUUCAGGCACUCUCCAUUCUUGUAUACAGCAAUGCACUACAAGAGAAUGCGCAUAGUUUGUUACACGCUGGAUUGCUCGAGGAGCUGGUUGAAUUACUCGAACUUCCACAUCCUCAUCUUGUCGAAAUUCGAGCAGCGGCAUUGCGUACUCUCACAAGUAUCAUACACUUGGAUCGCAAUCCACACUUCCCAAAGAAACCAGGCUCUCGAUUGAACAUGAUAAUUGAUGUAACCGGAGCUAGUUCAUAUCACGGAUUUUUGCCUGUACUCGUACGAACUUGUAUAACAACCCUGACAUCCCCUCAUCCUGACGGACAACACUUUCCGUUGCCACUGGCUACGGCUCUAUUUAGUUUUCUGUAUCAUCUCGCUAGCUAUGAAGCUGGUGGCGAAGCACUUGUUAGUUGUGGCAUGAUGGAGAGUCUUCUGAAGGUCAUUAACUGGCCAGGAAGCGAAUUGGAGCACAUUACGUUCGUGACGCGUGCUGUUCGUGUGAUAGACUUAAUAACGAAUAUAGACAUGCAAGGAUUUCAAGCGCACGGAGGUCUGUCUAGCUUUAUAAAUAGACUCGAUAUGGAAGUGAACGUGUGCAAGAAGGAACAGCCAUUUGAAAUAGAACCUCAGCAGCAUUCUACCAAAGAGAUUCUGCAACUCGCGCCAGAAAGACCAGCGGAUCCUGAUGAUGAGUCGAGAUCAUCACGACGAUCAAACGAUGCUUUCGAUGAGCGAGAAGAAUCCUCUAAUCCUAUGGAGUUCUCGGAGGAUGAGAAUACCAGCUCCAAACCAGAAGGAAAGCAGGAACGUUUGCCCGAUUAUUCUGCUGCAAGGACAGGGAAAACAUGCUUACCUCAGCGGGCAGCACUGCUCAAGUCUAUGUUGAAUUUCUUGAAGAAAGCUAUUCAGGAUCCGGCUUUUUCGGACAGUAUACGCCAUGUUAUGGAGGGGACCUUACCGUCGUCCUUGAAGCACAUCAUCAGCAACUCUGAAUAUUAUGGACCAUCCUUGUUUCUCCUUGCAACCGACGUAGUCACUGUAUAUGUGUUUCAAGAGCCGUCUUUACUGUCUUCUUUACAAGAUAACGGACUGACGGAUGUUGUGCUGCAUGCACUGCUCAUUAAAGAUGUCCCUGCUACUAGAGAAGUAUUAGGCUCUCUGCCCAAUGUGUUCAGCGCUCUAUGUCUGAAUCAACGUGGUCUGGAGUCCUUUGUCAAAUGCCGACCCUUCGAGCGCCUUUUCAAAGUUCUCCUUUCGCCUGUUUAUUUAUCAGCAAUGCGCAGACGUCGCAGUGCUGAUCCUCUUGGCGAUACAGCAUCCAACUUAGGAAAUGCAAUGGACGAACUCAUGAGACAUCAGCCAACUCUUAAAGUCGAUGCCACAUCUGCCAUCAUCAAACUCUUAGAAGAAUUGUGCAUUCUAGGAUGUGACCCACGAUACAUAUGCUGGCGUGCUGCAAGCAAAUCCGAGAAUUCUCCGUCAAAUUCAAGUUCAGGUGGUCGUCAAUCCUCUGGGCAGUCUGUUGGCGUUGGCGUGGGGGAUGGCGGUGGAGGGGGAGGAGGAGGCGGUGGAAGUAGCAGUGACGAAGAAGAGGAAGACGAGGAGGAAGCUAGUACUAGUUCACACCCUCAACGAGAAGAACAACCAUCACCUUCGCCAGCUCAACCUGGACCACCACCUCAACCACGUGAAAAGACUCCAAUCGCUUUAGUAGACUAUAUUCACAAUGUAAUGAAAUUUGUCGAUGCUAUCCUCAGCAACAAUUCAACGGAUGAUCACUGCAGAGAAUUCGUUGCGCAGAAAGGACUUGUUCCACUACUCUCUAUACUUGGUUUACCCAAUUUACCAGUGGACUAUCCUGUGGCGCAAGCUGCUCAAGCCGUGGCUUCCGUCUGUAAGAGUAUACUCAAUCUUGCCCACGAACCACUGGUUUUGAAAACCGGAUUGUCUCAACUAAACGAAGUUUUGAAUUUACUGAAACCUCUUCAUAGUCAUAUGGAGGCUCCUGGUGGUUCAGUUUUAUUACACGAACUUGCUUCUGCACCAAAUCUGGAAACAGCAUUCACAAGUGAUACAGCGACUCCUUUACUUCACGCUAUGAACGCGGCUCACGGAUAUGUGGUGAUGUUUGUACACGUCUGUCGUACAAGUCAAAGUGAAAUUCGAAAUCUUUCCAUGAAUCACUGGGGUUCUGAUCUAGGUAUGGCUGUUCUGAAAGGACUAUCUGAGCUCUAUAUGUCUCUGGUGUGGGAAAGUACCUUGCUUCUUGCACUCUGCAGCGAUGACAUCAUCCCAGCAGGUUGUGACUUUGGUAAAGAUGACAUGGACAAGCUUAUACCACCUGAAUUAAGAAGUGAUGGUGAAUUAUCUUCGUGGUCCGGCGCUGCUUCGUCCGAUAUGGGUAGUAAUGGAAUGACAACAGCCAUGGAAGCCUUGAGUACUGAUCCCCCACCAGUAUCAAUGGAAGUAGACGAUAAACCUAGUACCAGUACAGGAAGAACGUCACCGAGCACUCAUCAACUGAAAUAUAUUAAGCCUUUAUUGGGCGCCUCAUCAAGAUUAGGAAGAGCAUUAGCAGAACUGUUUGGUCUACUUGUCAAACUAUGCAUGGGAUCUCCAAUUAGGCAACGACGGGGCCAACAAAUCCCUAUGACACCAGCUUUACCUUCGCAAGCAGCUCGAAGUGUAGCUACUGCACUCAAUUGCUUAUUGACUCGUGGUCUCUCUUGGGAUAAAUUGCCACCUUCACCGAUACCAAAAUUUAGGCUAACUUUCCUCAUAUGCUCAGUGGGCUUUACUUCACCGAUGCUCUUCGAUGAGAAGCGCCAUCCUUAUCAUCUUAUGCUUCAAAGAUUUGUCCAAUUGGGAGGACAAAAUGCAUUCUUUGCAACAUUCCGAUGGGCUUUGUCUGGUGGUGGACAGUUUCCACUUUCCGAAGGAUUGGAACAUCCUAAUCUACCUGACGGCACUGGUGAAUUCCUGGACGCCUGGCUUAUGCUUCUAGAAAAAAUGGUUAAUCCCAAAGCCAUAUUAGAUUCACCGCACGUCGUCUCGUCCAAGUGUACUGGCGUUUACAAGGUAUACGAAACCUUUGACCCCAUUAAGUAUCUCAUAGAUAUUCACAAGAAAGCAUUUGGAGCAGUGAUGUUGAUGUGGGGCAAAAAACCGUUGAAGAAUUAUGGAGCACGAAUGACCGAAUCCAUCCUGUCGAUUUUGCGACAUAUUUUGCGCGGUGAGAAGAUAAUCAAAGAACGCAUUGAAAAAGAAAAGACUGGAGAAACACCAGCGGCUACUGGAAGUGGAACUGCAGCUGGUACUGGUACUGGAACUGGAACUGCCACUACUUCCGUAAGCAGGACUGGACCAGCACCAGAUCGUAGAGAAGAGCCUGAAGCAGACAUCAAUGCUGAGCACUUGAGACAACUAAUGGAUAUGGGCUUCAGUAGGACACAUUGCAUUGAAGCUCUACUCCAUACUCUUACCGUAGAACAGGCAACAGAUUAUCUUCUAACAAAUCCUGCAACUUCACGCAGACCUGAUGCACCUGCUGGAGAUGCCAGUGGUCAGGGUCUCAUAAUGGACUUGGAACUAGUGGAUGAUGAUCAAAUAAUGCAUGCCAUCGCCAUGUCAUUAGGUGAUUCAGAUUCUCGAAGAUUUUCAAUAACUGAAGAACCUCUGCGGGACGCACCAACCACAGAGACCAUUGACGAGUUCACUUACAGUGCACUAGAACAAUGUCUCAAUCUUCUGGAUUUGAUGCCAGACACCGUUUACAGGAUCUGCGAUCUUCUGGUUACUAUAACUAAGAGAAAUGGUGACGACUGGCGAGACUCUAUGCUGAGACAGCUGAUUCGUGAAAUUGGUGAUCUAGUGGAUUAUCUGAUCGGCAUUGCUGAGAGUCAGGAUGAGAAUGCUGGCGUAAAGUUAGUCGAAUGCGAGGAAGCCAGUAAAGUCGCUGGACGUAUCUACCUCUACACCCUCUUCUUCGAGGGUACCUUUCAAGAAAUGCGUGUACCUUGUGCACAGAGAGUGGAAGAAUGCGGCAUGCUCGAUAAACUCGUACGUCUAUUGAUAGUGAGUGAGAGUCCAUUAACAGCCAAUAAAAAUAAAACAGUCAAGGAUGGUAAGGAUGGAGUUGCCACUACGAAGACACCAAAAUGGCUGGCUCCUUUAUUACUCCUCAUAGAUCGUCUGGAAAAGGUAGCUGUGCUCACGCAACGCAAACAACUCAUGCACAAAGUUACAACCAGGGUUUGGAAGUGGUUUGAUCUUAGUUCCGGAAAGUGGACUCCUUAUUCUCCACUAAAUAAUCGUAUAAUAAAUAAUGCCUAUUGGGCUGGAGAACCAACAGUUAGAAUCACCUGCACCAGGAGACGUUACCUCAUUACAUUCUCUUGUAUGACCCAAGUUAAUGAAGACACUGACAACAGGAGACCCAUUACCAUGGGAUUUAAAUUGAAUGGCAGUAGUUCGGGCGAUGCAAAUUCUCGUUCUGAUUCAAAUAUGGAUACCGAGGAGAGCCCGGCUGAGGAUAAACGAAACGCUGUGGUACAAGGUCUGGAUCCCAACGUAGCCCCAAGCAUUGUACGUGCUUGCGUGAAACUUUUGGCUAUUCCAGUAGACCGGGAUGCUUUGCACGCACUUAUGAAGGUUUGUCUGCGUUUAACACGGGAUUAUAAAAAUGCUGAAGUAUUCGCAAGAGAAGGUGGAGUACGUCUUCUGCUUGAUAUGACUCAGGCUAGUAGCUUCAUUGGAUGUAUUAGCUUGAGUACUCUUUUGAUACGACAUACACUGGAGGAACCACGCACUCUUCGUCUUGCUAUGGAGAAGGUUGUUAGAACACGCACACAGCCUAAUAUUCCGCCAGCUUACAAAGAGAUUCUGUUUAUGACGAGGCAGAUCAGCAGUGCAGUUUGUCGUAACCCGGAAGUGUACAGAGAAGUUUGCGAAAAUAUUCUCAGAGUCGAUAUAGGUGUACUGAAACGUGACGACGUGGAUAACAGGCUACUAGUUAAAGCUCUACCACCAAAUCAUUCUUCAGCUCUUCCAAUGGUGGAGGAAGUCUCUAUCGGAGUCAUUCAUGACUUACUAAAUGCUCUAAUAAAACCGACGCCUGUGUUACCUGAUGACGCUUCUGCGUCGCCAGCUGGAAGUCCUGAAAAGAAAAUCACACAACCGAGCACCGCUGUCACGAAUAAUAGCGCAGCCACAGCUUCAUCAUCUAGACGAGACGGUCUUAGGAAUAACGGAACUGCCAGUACUGAUGCGUUGGAUGAUGACGAUCAAGUUUCUCAAAUUAUUCCUUUGAAGAUGUAUACGGAUAUUGGUAAUAAUACCAAGGUCGAACCGGAAGAAGCGAAGAAACCACUGUUACCAAAAUCAGCGAUUCUGAAGAUGUUGGCAGAGGCAGUUCGCUCUUACAGUGCUGUAGCUAAUCUGAUAACGGAACAUACCUACAGGGCUGGGCAAAGUGAAAUGGUGACUGAAGACACAACUGCUUUGACGUUUUUGCUUGAUAAAAUAUUACCAAUGCUGCCAGAAAACUCUGGUGAUCGACAAUGCAGCAGUAUGGCUAGGAUGUUGAUUUCUGCCAUUGCUUCAUGCAAUCAUUCACCUGAUGCACAAACAGCUUUGGUAACCGAAGUGAAGGGUGCGCUUAUACGAACUCUAGCGUUGCCCGAAAGCUCAGAAAAACAUACUCAACUUGUACUUCUUAUUGGUCUCAUUUCAACAAUGAUUGACAGUUGUCCACCAACUUCUCACGCUCAUCUGAGAACUUCAUUAAAAGUGCAUCAAUACAGCAAUGUUAAUUAUAUUGUUAGAAUAAUGUUGAGAAAAGGAAUAAUUACUGAUCUGGCCAAGAUACCUCAUAGUCUUGAUCUUUCAAGUCCUAAUAUGGCUGGUACCAUUAAUGCUGCUCUAAAACCACUGGAAACUUUAUCGAGAAUCAUUAAUCAACCUAUGCCAGGCACCGUUAACAAUAAAUUUCCUAAACCUAAAAAUCGCACUGCGCAAGAAGAACCAAUUGGCGAACAAACUGGCACAACUAACUCAGAGGCAACUCAUGCAGUUGGUGAAGAGGCGAAUGAGGAUGCCGAAAAUACCGAGCACGACAUUUCAGUUACCGCUGAGAGUCUAGAGCCAACUUCGGAGAGUCAAGUUCAUGAAGAGGGUGAUGAAGCUGCUCUUGAAGAUAUUAUGGAUCAAUUACUAGAGAGUGUACUCUAUUCCAGGGACGGCUCGGCCGUGACGGAGGAGCCUAGUUCCCGUCCGCACAGGCCAAUGGAUAUUGACGAUGAAAGUUUAGCAAUGCGCGACAAUGAGGGCGACUUUGAUCCAGCCCGUGACACCACAGUAAGAGAAGAUCUGAUGAGUUCGGACUCAGAUUCUGACAGCAAUCCAUCUGACGAUAAUGAGGACGAGGUUCAAGAUGACGAAGAUGAAGAAGAGGAGGAAGAAGAUGAUGGCGAAGAAAAUGAAGAAGAGGAAGAGGAGGAAGAAGAGGGCUCUUCAAAUUACGAAGAGGAUGGUAUGGAAUUUUACGAGGAUGUUGGGGAAGGCGUCUUCCGGAUGCUACCAGCUGCCGAACGAGAUGGCAGCAAUGUUGUGAUGAUACAACAUAAUAUUGAAAACCAAGACAACGCUUCUUCUACUCCUGUCUUCACAGCUCCUGGUCUUCCUUGGAAUACAAGUUCACCGUUGCAUCUUGGACUAUUUGAAGAUCCUCCUCCAGUAUCCGAGGGCAAUGGCAUCAGCUCGCAUCCAUUAUUAAUGGCUCGUAACAAUCUUGAUGUUGCAUCUUUACCGACCUCGAGAGCUCAACGACUUCUGCGUCAACGCAGAUAUCAGUAUCUUCAGCUGUCGAAUAUACGUAGUCCUAAUCCGCCAGUAAUUUUACAAAGACUGUUCGGUCCAGCUGCGCAGACUCUUCCUAUCUCAGCUAGUCCAGUUUUGACAUCUAGCUUCAGAGAUACCCGUGUUCUGGUUGUGGAUAAUGGCCUUGGAAUCUUGAAUCAAGAAGAAGAGCAGAUAGAUUUUGUGGAUCAAUCUGGUUACUUGUUCGGUCCAAGUCUUGCAGCUACAUUAAACAAUAUCCCAACAGCCUUACAUUGGUGGAUCGAAGAGAGUAAGUUGCUUGAUGGUGAUUCUCAGCCAGACUGCUGCGUUGCAGGAGUCGUACAGAAAUUAAUACCUGGACUUGAGAAAUAUAGAAAUGCGGAGUUAGCAGAGCGCAAAGAGAAACGCAAGAAGCAACAUGGUACUGAAAAGGAGCCAGAAAAAGACAAUAAAGAAGUUAAAGAACAGACGAGUAAGACAGAAUCGGAAACAUCAGUUCCAUCAUUACCAUCUGAAGAGCAAAGACUUGUAGCUGCAAAUCCGCAAAGGGAAGACAUGAGGGAAUUAGUUGCAGUGGUAGAGGCAGCAGUUGCAGCUGCAAGACAAGAUCGAAAUCCAAAUGAUGACAUAAUUGAAGUUACUGGGGAAAUGGAGGUCACUGUACAAGAAGAUGAGGAACGAUCACCUCCACCGCCACCAGAGGAACAGCCUAUAGAAGGCAGAGAUCCUCGCACAGCGUCACGUAGCACUGCAGUCGAACUUAUUGAAAAUAUUGUAGCUCUGGCACCUGCUGUUACAGAUGCUAUAGCACUACAGAGACAACCUGAGAGGAGUGCAGAUGAUCAAAAUCCGGUUCUUUCGACGCCAGUACCAGUAAAUUUCAAUCAAGAUGUUAAUGACGAUUUGUCGAGAGAUGUAGAAAGCAGUAGCGAUCCAACAGGUUGGAUCAGAAGAUUACUUACUGAUGAUAAUCAGUCAAAUGUGGAGAGAAAUGCAAAUGUCGUCGGACAAGGUGCUGGUUCCUCUACUUCUGAAAGAAAUAAUCAAGAAUCUUUGGAGCAGCCACAAACACAGUCUCAAUCUCAACAGCAACAACAACCGCAAGCCCAACAGCCGCAGCAACCAUCACAAGAGCAACAACUACCUGACGGAGUAGAUCCGUCCUUUUUAGCGGCAUUACCUGAAGAAAUGCGCGAUGAAGUUAUUGCUGAACAACUGAGGUUGCAAAGAAUUAGACAACGAGCUCAAGCAACUGUAGUUGAAGAACCGACUGGUCCUGUAGAAGUAAAUCCAGAGUUUUUGGCUGCUCUGCCACCAGCUAUUCAAGAAGAGGUUCUUGCCCAACAACGAUUGGAGCAACAACGUCACGCGGCUGCUUCAGCAAAUCCUGAGGAUCCCGUUGAUGCAGCUGCCUUCUUCCAAAAUCUGCAACCGUCCCUACGUCAAGCCAUUCUGACCGACAUGGAAGAGUCUCAGAUAUCCGUGUUACCACCUGACUUGGCACAGGAAGCACAAAAUCUAAGACGGGAAUGGGAAGCACGUAAUAGGCAUAUGAUGCAGGAAAGAUUUCUUAAUCAUGUCAGUCAAAGUAAUACGGCCCUGUCUAGCAUACUGAGAAAUUCCGGAAGAGCACGAGGUGGUGGUACGCGUUAUGCUAUCCAUACCGUACCUCAACGAGCACAAUGGAAUUCCUGGAAUCCACGUGGUGAAACCAGUAUGGCCCAUCAGGGCGCCGGUUUGCGAUUGAGAGGAAGGCAAUUACUUGAUCACGAAUCAAUGGCCUGCCUCUUAGUUUUACUGUUCGUGGAUGAACCAAAAAUUAACACUCUUAGAUUGCACAGGGUCAUUCGAAAUUUGUGCUAUCAUGGUAGUACAAGAGAGUGGGUCGUCAAAGCUCUUCUUAACAUAAUGGAGAGGAGCAAUGAUGAGAAUAGAGAGAUGAUUGCUGAUUUCAGCGGAAAGUUCAAGAGAAAAGGACUGCACUCGGCUAUAGACUAUUGUUUCCCAAAAGUUUCCGAAACCAGGAACAAUGCCCAAUCCUGGUUAAAUAUCAGCAUCGACGCAGCUCUUGGCUGUAGAGCCAAUGUAUUCCAUGUUGUUAGGCAUGGAGGAAAGAAGUCUGAACGUCAGGGAAAUGUCAUUGCCAUUCAUCCUCAAGCUGCGCCUACAGUAUGCCGGCAUACGCUAGAAUUGCUGAUUUCCUUAGCCAAGGGCUUUCCUGGAUAUUUCGUACCGCUUAAGUCUAAGGAAUCUGAGGACAAAGAUAAAGACACGUCCGCGAAUAAGGAAGAAAAUGUUGGAAAGGCAAAGUCCAAUUGCAAACCAGGCAAGAGUGACUUCCCUGAUUUCUGGGACAUGCUUCUGAGGUUGGACUCCUGUGCUUCUAAAAAGGGAAAAUCUGUUGCACGAACUCACUCGAAUUCAAAUUUGGGUUGCGAACCAGAGCAGAGCAUGACGUCUUUCGAAGCUUCGGCAUUUGGACAACUAAUAUCAAUGCUCAACUGGUCUGUUAUCAAACGCAGUAGUCAACUAACGGACAAACUAUUGCGACUCUUGUCUCUUAUAUCAAUUGGCUUGACGGAAGCGAAUCCCUAUCGUCGACAAGAUGGAGCCAAGAAUAAAAAAGUGGACUCGAAUAAGGAACAGAGUGUUGCUGCCCCAGAAGGUCAUCUUAGGCUGGCUGUACAAGUACUUACCAGCAAGAGUUGUUCGGAGGAGGGACUUGAGGACGCAACAGCACUUCUUCUUAAUCUGUCACAUUGUCCUGAUCCAACUAGGCAAUUGAUUUUGAAAUUACUUUUGGAAGGAGCAAUGGAACUAGCCACUAUGGUCUGUGAACAUAUUAAUGACCUGAUGAUGGAACUUCAAGUCCUCAACCGUGAACUGAAUCGUAGAAUCUCCAUUGAAGAGCAACCAUCUAGCAGUGCUGGUGGAGUUGGCCGAGGAACUCUUCUAGACAGAUUUACAAAUGAAAGCGUGGUAGUAACAGCUCCAAGUAAAGUUAAAGCAGGAACUGAUCUCCAGUUGCCGUCCAUGGGUGCUCUGGUCAGCAAGACUUCUAGUCAGGCCUUUUUCCUUCGAAUACUUAAGGUCAUUGUACAGAUUAGGGAAGCUGUGCGCUUGGCUAAUAGAAAGAAAGCUGAAACAAACCAGCCCACAGAAACUGCCAUGGACACAGGGACAUCCAGUCAACCACAGACUUCAGCAGAAGAUAAUACAGAAGGCGAUAGUGUCGCUAUGGACACGACACAAGCGAACUCUUCAAAUUCUGAUAACUUCAAACCCACCUUCUCAAAAAGUGAUGAAGAGAAAUCCACACUACCAUUACUAAGCGAAAGCCUAGUGUUAGAUAGCCUUUGGGAAACAUUGAGUGCGUGUCUACUCGAACUGGAGCAUACUCCUGAUCAUCACGCCGUCCUAGUCCUACAGCCUGCGGUCGAAGCAUUCUUCCUGGUACACUCAUCGUCCAGUUCAACCAGAGAACGUAAUAGCGAUACAAUAACAAUAAAUACAGAAUCCCGAGAAGUUGUACCAGAUCUAGCACCAGUUUCGCCAAUAUAUUCAGAUAACGAAGGCACAUCUCAGUCGGAAGCAGCAAUUAACACCUCGUGGGAUAUAACUCCAACACCACAAAAAACACUACCUCCUGACCAAUUGAAGUUCCUCAAAUUUGCUGAAACACACAGAACGGUUCUGAAUCAAAUCUUGAGGCAAACGACAACUCACUUGGCUGAUGGACCCUUUUCCGUCCUGGUAGAUCAUACACGGGUUCUUGACUUCGACGUAAAGAGACGAUACUUUAGAACAGAACUCGAGAGGAUGGAUGAAGGCAUUCGAAGAGAGGAACUAGCCGUACACGUACGAAGGAGUCACGUAUUCGAAGAUUCAUUCAGGGAACUUCACCGUAGGAAUGCGGACGAAUGGAAGAAUCGUUUCUAUAUAGUUUUCGAAGGUGAAGAGGGUCAGGAUGCUGGUGGUUUACUCAGAGAAUGGUACGUCAUAAUUUCAAGGGAGAUCUUCAACCCGAUGUAUGCACUCUUCACGGUCAGUCCCGGUGAUCGAGUUACGUAUAUGAUUAAUUCAUCUUCUCACUGCAACCCUAAUCACUUAUGCUACUACAAAUUCGUAGGGCGAGUAAUAGCCAAGGCCAUCUAUGAUAACAAAUUAUUGGAGUGUUACUUCACGCGUAGCUUCUACAAACACAUACUCGGAAUACUCGUGAAGCAUACUGACAUGGAGAGUGAAGAUUACAGCUUCUAUAAAGGCCUUGUGUAUCUGACAGAACACAAUAUCUCUGAUCUUGGAUACGAACUGACAUUUUCAGCAGAGGUAAACGAAUUUGGUGUCAACGAUGUUCGAGACUUGAUUCCAAAUGGCCGCAAUAUAGUCGUAACAGAAGAAACGAAGCUGGAGUAUAUCCGUUUGGUGUGUCAGAUGAAGAUGACUGGAGCUAUUCGUAAACAACUCAACGCAUUUUUGGAGGGUUUUUACGACAUUAUUCCAAAACGACUGAUAUCCAUCUUCAACGAGCAGGAGUUAGAAUUACUAAUUAGCGGCUUGCCUAAUGUCGACAUUGAAGAUCUUAAGACUAAUACCGAAUACCACAAAUACAGUCCCACAUCAUUGCAGAUCCAAUGGUUUUGGCGUGCAUUGAGAGGAUUCGAUCAAGCAGACAGGGCAAAGUUUUUGCAAUUUGUUACUGGCACGUCGAAAGUACCUUUGCAAGGUUUCGGUGCCUUGGAAGGUAUGAAUGGUGUACAAAAAUUCCAAAUUCAUCGAGAUGACCGCUCAACUGAUAGAUUACCCUCAGCCCACACGUGCUUCAAUCAGUUGGAUUUGCCAGUCUACGAAACAUACGACAAACUCCGUAGUAAUCUGCUGAAGGCAAUUCACGAGUGCAGCGAAGGAUUUGGAUUUGCGUAAAUCUUACUGUGAAUGGAAAAGAAACCGAUCGACGCUCUCACGUGUUUAAGAGAGAAAAGAACCUGGUAACAUAUGCUUGAUCUUCACUCAAGAUCUUAUUACUACCGAUUUAUUCGAUAUAUACAUAUAAAUACACGCAUAUGUAUAUACAUAUAACUAAUUAUCGUGUAAUUACGGAGAGUAACCUUCGAUGCUACCCAAGUUAGAGUUUAUUUUGUUCAGAAGGAUCUUGAUGAAGACGCAGAGCUUAAGCUUAAUUCCCAACAAAGCAAGAUUGGGGCGUUUAAUUAAGGUUAAUUGAUAAGGCUAUGAUAAGAUUCAUAUGUAAGUGUAUUGCUAGAUAGGACUCUGAGUAUGUUUUAAGGGAUAAAUAGGGAGAAAAUUGUAAUAUACUGCACUUUAAAGUGAUCAGCGAUAUGUUGUAACCGGUUCGAUAGUUUGAAUAGUACUGCGGGGACAAUGAUGAAAUGCCACAGUGUUUAGACAGACAGCGAACAAAAGCGCAACGGAGAAAAUGAAAGGUUUGAAUGACAAAGUGAUAACGAUGACGAUAAGUAAAAUCGUGAGUGCAAAAGAUAAGAAAGAAAAAUGGGCGAUAUUAUGUGUGUAUGUAUGUGAAGAGAUUAUGCGUCUACGGGGUAUUACAAUGAAGCGCCAGCCUAAUUAACUGAACCGCUAUAAUUAUAAACACAGUCUUGUCCCCCAAGAAAUGUAUGGUUGUACACUAUUAUUAAUAAUUAGAGAUAAUUUUUAAUUAAUAGUAAUGCUUUUUAAUUAUUAUCAUUUUAAUAGUAAUCAUUCGAAAUGUGAUGUUACAGAAAUGUAAUUUUUUCUUGAAAUCUAACAAAAUAAAGUUUACAGUUGAACCGGCAUUACUCCAAAAGACA